rnacentral:tRNA from 1 species
GGGGUUGUGGCUCAAUGGUAGAGCACUUACCUAGCAGGCAUGAGACACUGGGUUCAAUCCCCAGCACCA